rnacentral:sRNA from 2 species
AGCAUUAUUACCGCCAUUCCUUAUUGGCGGGCUAGCUGACGGCUGCACCGAACCCGCCCUAGAGGCGGGUUUU